UACGUAGGGGGCAAGCGUUGUCCGGAAUCAUUGGGCGUAAAGCGCGUGUAGGCGGUCCGGUAAGUCCGCUGUGAAAGUCGGGGGGCUCAACCCUCGAAUGCCGGUGGAUACUGUCGGGCUAGAGUGCGGAAGAGGCGAGUGGAAUUCCUGGUGUAGCGGUGAAAUGCGCAGAUAUCAGGAGGAACACCUAUUGCGAAGGCAGCUCGCUGGGACGUAACUGACGCUGAGACGCGAAAGCGUGGGGAGCAAACAGG
rnacentral:rRNA from 1 species